rnacentral:rRNA from 1 species
UGCUGCGAUGGCUGUCGUCAGCUCGUGUCGUGAGAUGUUCGGUUAAGUCCGCUAACGAGCGCAACCCUCGCUGUGUGUUACAAGUGCCACACGGAACUGCCGGUCAUAAACCGGAGGAAGGUGGGGAUGACGUCAAGUCAGCAUGGCCUUUAUAUCCUGGGCUACACACACGCUACAAUGGGAAGGGACAAUAGGUUGCGAAGCCGCGAGGCGGAGCCAAUCCAGCAAAACUUCCCUCAGUUCAGAUUGCAGGCUGCAACCCGCCUGCAUGAAGUUGGAGUUGCUAGUAAACGCAGGUCAGCCAUACUGCGUUGAAUACGUUCCCGGGGCUU